rnacentral:lncRNA from 1 species
AUGUGAUAUCCCGACCUUUUCUUAGGAAAUAAAGAAAAUUAGUAUACUAUUGAUACACGCCCGAUUUUUAAUAAAUUAUAAUAUUUCAAGGAGAUUUUAAAUUCAUUAUUAUUAGUUUUAUCAAAGGCCUUGAAUUUAUUAUUAAAUUUCAUGAGAAAUGUUCUUACUAUUAUUUUUAUUAUUAUUAUUUAUUUAAUUAGUCAUCUACUCUUAUGUUAGGCCUCAAGCCCAAAAAUACUUCUUUGUAAGUUAUAUUUCUUUAGGCCCAAACCCAAGUGCAUAAGAUAUGUUUGUAUAAUGGGGUGAGAGCUGAGAUGUACUAGUUCCAUUGUACUAGUGUACUGUCAUUGUACUAUCUAUUUUCCUUUGCAUAAUCUCCUAAUCGACAUACUGCUCUGCAAAUCCUUUUCCAUCUCUUUUCAUUUUUCAAAAUCACAUUUUUCCUCUAUCAUUUUACCAGCAACAACAGUCAAGCUCAGAAAUAUUCUGCAAAACAACCAUGAAAACACAGAAAACUUGAACAUUCCUAGAACUCAGACCAAUUCUUCUUUAAACCAAAGAAUGAGAAAAAGAAAGAUCAGUUCAAAACAAAACCAAUCGACAUCUUUCAUCAAUAAACUUCAGAAACUCCAAAUCAACCAAAAAUCAAAUCUUUUUACAUCUGAAAUCUGAACCCUUCUUGCUAGCCUUCGGAGAGGGUGAGAGUCGAGAAGGUGAUAGGAAAGGGAGGCUGUCCGAGCUUGACGCCGGGCUGUCAAGGCCGCGGCUGCCGGCGCUGCAUGCGGGCAGCAGUCUGCCGGCCACUCGCGGCCAAGACAGACGGAGUCGGAGCGAGGCGGUGUCGUGGGCGAGGCCGGGGCGGCGUGGCCGAAGGCCAAGCGCCGCUGACGCGGCACGAACGGAGUAGCAGCGGCGGGGGCCCUCCUUUGCCGUCAGCUGCCGGAAACGCGAGGAAAGGCGAUGGGUGAAGGAGGCCUCAGAUCCGGCAUUUCCCGCCGGGGUUGUUAGCGGCGGCGGCGGUGAAAAUUUAGGGAGGAAGAGAGGAGGGCGGUGAGAGUGGAGAGGAAGGGGAAGGGAAACGUAGUUUUGGGUGAAGAAAAAGAGAGCCACGCGCGUGAAUGAGAGGUCGCCGUGCGGGGGAGGCGCGGCUGCCGGCAACUUUCGGCGGAGCUGAAGCAGACGGCGGCGGCGGAUCUGUUUGAGGGAGGGGAGAAGAGGUGAUGGUGAGAGAGAGAGAAAAUGGGAGUUAUAGAGAGAGAGAGAAAGAGAACCGUGAGGGGAGAGGUGAGAAGAGAGAGAUAUAAGUUGUUUUAAUUGUUCUAUUAUUUUAGGGUAAGUUUUGAUUUUUAUUUUGAGCCUCACUAAUUAUUUUAGUAUGGACAGAUUUUAUUAAAUGAAUGGGCCUAUUGCUAUCAUUCUGAGUGGGCUGAUUUUAUUGAUUUAAAUGAGCUUGUUGCUUUCAAUAUUAUAAUUGAGCUGUAUUAUUUAUAGCAAGUCUUUAAAUUAUUUUUCUUGGACUUUAACUAUUAGUUUGAGCCUGAAAAUGUUUUAAUAAGAAUUAUUAAUUUUUCUUCCAAGAGUAAGGUUCUAUAUUUUUAAAUUAUUAACUAUUUUAUAAGUUUUAAAUCUAUUAUUAAUCAUAUUUAUUAAGUUAUUAAUUAUGUAUUAAAAGUUUAUGGAUUCGCUCAAAGAGAUUAUUAAUUCGGGCAAAGUGUAUCAAUAGUUAGUGAUUUUCCUCUUUGUAUUUAGAAGUUAGAAUAGCACCAAGAGACCUAUUAAGAAUAGAUUUUUUUGUAGGCUUUGAGGAUCAGGAGGAUUAGCACUGCUUUCCCGUGACAGGUUUACGAUUAAACUACAGGCUUUGCCUAUUCAGGUGGGCUUUAUUUUAAAUACAAUGUAUCUUGAGUUAUAUAAGCUCUGAUAUUUCAUGAAAAUUGUCUGUUUAUCCAAUAUAAAUGUUUUUAUGUGCGUUCUGUAAUUGUUUAAGGCUCACUUAAGUAUCGAUCGAGAUUCUCAUUUGGCCUAACACGCUAAAUGAGGAUUGUGUACACAGGGUUAGUGACUCGAUGGAUUGAUCACCAUCGUGCACUAACAGAUUUAGAACGUUAUAAGGGUGGGUGCUUGACAGGAGGUUAUCCGGAGCACGGUGCUUGACAGGAGGUUAUCCGGAGCACAGUUAAGGUUAUUGAUUCCGACCGGGUGCGUCCCGAGAUCAAUAACAGAUUUUGGAUCUGACUGGGUGCGUCCCGAGAUCAGUGAAUGUGGGGAGAAAGUGAGUAACAAUCGAACGUACAUGGCGCGCCACUUAAUGAAGAAAAGUUUUGUCAUGCUUAGAAGUGGAUUUCUGUUUUUAAACCUUCUGAGUUAUGAUUGUGAUAUUGGAUAAACUACUUCGAUUAUUUCUUAAAAUAUUUCAAAAACUCGUGCCCACUGAGUACAUUAGUACUCAGCCCAAAUUAUUUUCAAAUAUUUUCAGGUUGAUCGGCUGGUGCAGACGGGGCUGAGCUGAGGCUAAGGUUCCACGAUGUCUUUUGCUUCCGCUAAUAACUAUCUUGUCAUCUCAUCCUCCAUCCCCUAAAUUGAGAAUUUCUAUUGUGUGGUAUAAUAUUAUCUUGUUGGGCUUAGACUCUUAACCCAUAUUUCUAUUAAUGGAGCUAUCAUUGAUUAUGAUCAGAGUCACGAAACUAAACCUAUGCGAUCCUGAGUUCGAAUAUUGUCAUUUGAUUAGCAUCUCUUAAUGCCUUUCAUUUUAUCUUCUUUCAUCUUAUCUCUUUAGAUAUGCAUACCCGAUUUAAUGGGUAAAUUAUAAAUUUUAUUCAGCUCAAUUAAGUUCUUAAAUUAUUUUCCUAUUUC